rnacentral:tmRNA from 1 species
GGGGACGUAAAGGUUUCGACGGGGAUUUUGAAGUACGGUAAGCGAGCCGAGAUGUGGCAACUCGUUAAACAACCACAAAAUUUAAAUUAAACGCUAACAAUAAUAAAGUAGCUCUCGCUGCCUAAGUGCGGCGAUGUCCGCCCGAUGAGUACCGCGGCUUCGGCUCGGGCAUAACACAGCGGUGAACGCGAACAGCCUUUUAGCUUUUGAAGCUGUCGUGAAUAAAAAAGCUACUCUUUUUUUAGAGCCUGUCCGACGGCGCUUAAAAAGGGGAAUUUAAAAGACGGACUGCGCUCGAAGAAAGCUGUAUGGAUAGGUUUUCGGACAGGGGUUCGACUCCCCUCGUCUCCACCA